UAGGGAAUCUUCCACAAUGGACGCAAGUCUGAUGGAGCAACGCCGCGUGAGUGAAGAAGGUUUUUGGAUCGUAAAGCUCUGUUGUUGGUGGAGAAGGAUAGAGGCAGUAACUGGUCUUUAUUUGACGGUAAUCAACCAGAAAGUCACGGCUAACUACGUGCCAGCAGCCGCGGUAAUACGUAGGUGGCAAGCGUUGUCCGGAUUUAUUGGGCGUAAAGCGAGCGCAGGCGGAAUGAUAAGUCUGAUGUGAAAGCCCACGGCUCAACCGUGGAACUGCAUCGGAAACUGUCAUUCUUGAGUGCAGAAGAGGAGAGUGGAAUUCCAUGUGUAGCGGUGGAAUGCGUAGAUAUAUGGAAGAACACCAGUGGCGAAGGCGGCUCUCUGGUCUGCAACUGACGCUGAGGCUCGAAAGCAUGGGUAGCGAACAGG
rnacentral:rRNA from 1 species